UUCAAGGCUGCAGUAAGCUGUGGUCACGCCACUGCACUCCAGCCUGGGUGACGGAGCGAGACCCUGUCUCAAAGAAAAAAAAAAAAUUAUCGACCUUAAAAUAGGGAGAUUAUCCAAGUGGGCCCAGAGUAAUCAAAUAGACAUUUAACAGUGGAAAUGGAAGACAGAAGGGUAGGUCAGAGAGAGGGAUGAUGGAAGAAGUAACAGGAAUGAUUCAAAAUGGGAGAGGGACUUCACCCACUAUUGCAGGCUCUGAAGAAAAGGGGAUCAUGAGCCAAGGAACGAAGGCAGCCUUCAGAAGCUAGAAAUGACCCUGAGCUAAUGGACAACAAGGAAAGAAGACUUUGAUCCUUUAACUGCAAAGCACUGAACUCUGCCAACAACUAAACAAACAAGGAAAUGGAUUUGCCCCCCAACCCAAAACCUCCAUAAAGGAAUGCAUUCCUGCCAGCACCUUGAAUUUAGCCCAGGUCCCAAGAGUAUCUACAGAAAAAUACAAAUUGUUGAGAAGAGCUACCAUCUCUGAAAGGCCCAUAUCAGAAAGAGUUCCAUCUAUCUGACAUCCUCCUACCUUCAUACUCCCCAGCAAAGACACAGCUGUCCACUUGCAGAAUGGGCCUCUCAGUGUCAAUGCCCUACAACGGAAUAAAGGAUCAUAAAAAAAAA